GACGAACGCUGGCGGCGUGCUUAACACAUGCAAGUCGAACGGUGAUGCUCCAGCUUGCUGGAGUGGAUCAGUGGCGAACGGGUGAGUAACACGUGAGCAACCUGCCCCAGACUCUGGAAUAAGCGCUGGAAACGGCGUCUAAUACUGGAUACGAAACUGGCCCGCAUGGGCAUGGUUUGGAAAGUUUUUCGGUUUGGGAUGGGCUCGCGGCCUAUCAGCUUGUUGGUGAGGUAAUGGCUCACCAAGGCGACGACGGGUAGCCGGCCUGAGAGGGCGACCGGCCACACUGGGACUGAGACACGGCCCAGACUCCUACGGGAGGCAGCAGUGAGGAAUAUUGCACAAUGGGCGAAAGCCUGAUGCAGCGACGCCGCGUGAGGGAUGACGGCCUUCGGGUUGUAAACCUCUUUCAGCAGGGAAGAAGCGAAAGUGACGGUACCUGCAGAAGAAGCACCGGCUAACUACGUG
rnacentral:rRNA from 1 species